GUGGAUGUAGCUGCAGUGAAAACCUGACAUAGAUUCAAUUAGACCUGUUACCAGAGCUAUUUGACCCAACAAGCUGCUCUCUGUGCGUUUGCCCUGACAUCGAUACACCGCCGCUCCACCACGCCGGCGCUCGUGCAGUGAGGGGAGGAAUAAAUACAGCGGUGGAUUUAUCUACAUCUACAAACAUGCAGAAAAAGCUCGACAGGCUAGAUGAUGGACCCAUUUCUCACCGGUUCCCUCGGAAAUCUGGCGUCACGUUUCCUCUGUUUGGGUCCAGAUAGGCUGAGAGCGUCACAGCCAGUAAACACAUGUUGCUGUUUUUUUCCUACAUAGUUGAAGCUUUUUAAAUACUGUGAACAAAGACAGAAACAUGUCAUGACUGAUGGAAUUUUAUUUGGAAAAAUAAAUGUUAUUGCUUGGACUGCUUUAAUAUUUUUAGAGAACUCUGUUCAUUCGACCCUUGUUGUUCAGGCGACCCAGCGUUUGUGUUUUUGGUUUAAUGUUCUUUAUUUCUCCCUGUCAACUCCCUGUUUCCUGUUUUACUUUGAUAGUCUCACGUCCUUCGUUAAUGUUUCCAGUGUUGCUUCCUCCACAUCUCGUUAUUUGUGAUCGCUCUCAGCUGUGUCCGAUUCCCACGUUAUCCCUCUGUGUAUUUAAGUGCUGCGUUUUCCUCUGUCCAUUGUCGCGUCCUUCCCUGUUUGCUGUGUGUUUUCUAAUCUCCCAGUGUUUAGUUCUUCGUUUCCAGUUUCCAUGUUCAAGUUUUAUUUAGAUUUUUGUGAGUUUAUUUUACGGAUUAUUUUUCCCAGUGAAUAAAGCUGCCGCUUUGAGUUUA